rnacentral:rRNA from 1 species
UGCCAGUGAUAAACUGGAGGAAGGUGGGGAUGACGUCAAGUCAUCAUGGCCCUUACGACCAGGGCUACACACGUGCUACAAUGGCAUAUACAAAGAGAAGCGACCUCGCGAGAGCAAGCGGACCUCAUAAAGUAUGUCGUAGUCCGGAUUGGAGUCUGCAACUCGACUCCAUGAAGUCGGAAUCGCUAGUAAUCGUAGAUCAGAAUGCUACGGUGAAUACGUUCCCGGGCCUUGUACACACCGCCCGUCACACCAUGGGAGUGGGUUGCAAAAGAAGUAGGUAGCUUAACCUUCGGGAGGGCGCUUACCACUUUGUGAUUCAUGACUGGGGUGAAGUCGUAACAAGGUAACCGUAGGGGAACCUGCGGUUGGA